rnacentral:rRNA from 1 species
CACGUAGGGGGCAAGCGUUGUCCGGAUUUAUUGGGCGUAAAGAGCUCGUAGGUGGUUCGGUAAGUCGGGUGUUAAACCCCCAGGCUCAACCUGGGGACGCCACUCGAUACUGCUGUGACUUGAGUCCGGUAGGGGAGCGUGGAAUUCCUGGUGUAGCGGUGAAAUGCGCAGAUAUCAGGAGGAACACCGAUGGCGAAGGCAGCUCGCUGGGACGGUACUGACGCUGAGGCGCGAAAGCGUGGGGAGCGAACAGG